rnacentral:rRNA from 1 species
CCUACGGGAGGCAGCAGUGAGGAAUAUUGGUCAAUGGACGAGAGUCUGAACCAGCCAAGUAGCGUGAAGGAUGACUGCCCUAUGGGUUGUAAACUUCUUUUAUAAAGGAAUAAAACGAGGCACGUGUGCCUUUUUGCAUGUACUCUAUGAAUAAGGAUCGGCUAACUCCGUGCCAGCAGCCGCGGUAAUACGGAGGAUCCGAGCGUUAUCCGGAUUUAUUGGGGUUAAAGGGAGCGGAGAUGGGUUGUUAAGUCAGUUGUUAAAGUUUGCGGCUCAACCGUCAAAGUGCCAUUGAUACUGGCAGUCUUGAGUACAGUUGAGGUAGGCGGAAUUCGUGGUGUAGCGGUGAAAUGCAUAGAUAUCACGAAGAACUCCGAUUGCGAAGGCAGCUUACUAGACUGUAACUGACAUUGAUGCUCGAAAGUGUGGGUAUCAAACAGGAUUAGAUACCCCAGUAGUC